rnacentral:rRNA from 1 species
AGAGUUUGAUCCUGGCUCAGGAUGAACGCUAGCGACAGGCUUAACACAUGCAAGUCGAGGGGCAGCAUGAUUUGUAGCAAUACAGAUUGAUGGCGACCGGCGCACGGGUGAGUAACGCGUAUGCAACUUACCUAUCAGAGGGGGAUAACCCGGCGAAAGUCGGACUAAUACCGCAUGAAGCAGGGGCCCCGCAUGGGGAUAUUUGCUAAAGAUUCAUCGCUGAUAGAUAGGCAUGCGUUCCAUUAGGCAGUUGGCGGGGUAACGGCCCACCAAACCGACGAUGGAUAGGGGUUCUGAGAGGAAGGUCCCCCACAUUGGUACUGAGACACGGACCAAACUCCUACGGGAGGCAGCAGUGAGGAAUAUUGGUCAAUGGCCGAGAGGCUGAACCAGCCAAGUCGCGUGAAGGAAGAAGGAUCUAUGGUUUGUAAACUUCUUUUAUAGGGGAAUAAAGUGGAGGACGUGUCCUUUUUUGUAUGUACCCUAUGAAUAAGCAUCGGCUAACUCCGUGCCAGCAGCCGCGGUAAUACGGAGGAUGCGAGCGUUAUCCGGAUUUAUUGGGUUUAAAGGGUGCGUAGGUGGUGAUUUAAGUCAGCGGUGAAAGUUUGUGGCUCAACCAUAAAAUUGCCGUUGAAACUGGGUUACUUGAGUGUGUUUGAGGUAGGCGGAAUGCGUGGUGUAGCGGUGAAAUGCAUAGAUAUCACGCAGAACUCCGAUUGCGAAGGCAGCUUACUAAACCAUAACUGACACUGAAGCACGAAAGCGUGGGGAUCAAACAGGAUUAGAUACCCUGGUAGUCCACGCAGUAAACGAUGAUCACUAGCUGUUUGCGAUACACUGUAAGCGGCACAGCGAAAGCGUUAAGUGAUCCACCUGGGGAGUACGCCGGCAACGGUGAAACUCAAAGGAAUUGACGGGGGCCC